UACGAAGGGAGCUAGCGUUGUUCGGAAUCACUGGGCGUAAAGCGCACGUAGGCGGAUGUGUCAGUCAGGGGUGAAAUCCCGGAGCUCAACUUCGGAACUGCCUUUGAUACAGCACGUCUUGAGUCCGAUAGAGGUGGGUGGAAGUUCCGUAGUGAUAGAGGUGAAAUUCGUAGAUAUUAGGAAGAACACCGGUGGCGAAGGCGGCCCACUGGCAU
rnacentral:rRNA from 1 species